ACGUGACAAGCUGCGAUAAGCUCGGGGUAGGCGCACGUAUCCUAUGAUCCCGAGAUGUCCGAAUGAGAAUCUUACACUUUUGUGUAUUCCAGUACAAUAGUAUUGGAAGUCGAACCGUGGGAAUUGAAGCAUCUUAGUACCACGUGGAAAAGAAAUCAAUAGAGAUUUCCCAAGUAGUGGCGAACGAAAAGGAAAUAGCCCAAACUGAAUCCUUCGGGAGAUGUGGUGUUUUGGUAUGAUAAUAUGGAAUCCUGGAGCACAGCUGAAAUGAUCUGAAAAGUUCUGGAAUAGAGGGUGAUACCCCCUUAAGCGAAGUGUGAAGGGUCCUAUUCAUACCCGAGUAGUUGUCCUUGGUAGUGGGCAAUGAAUACAGGUGAAAGUAGCAUCUGAGGCUAAAUAUUUCUCAAGACCGAUAGUGGACUAGUACCGUGAGGGAAAGCUGAAAAGUACCCCGGAAGGGGGGCGAAAAGUGCAUGAAACCUAUUGGUUACAGACGUGCGUGGCAUGGAAGGUGAUUUUUUCAGAUUGGAGAUUCUAGCAAUAGAGUUGAAGAUUUGAUGUUCAAAUCAUCAGUGUCACGCGUUCCGUCUCGAAACACGGGCCAAGGAGCUAACUGUCAUGGCAAGCUUAAACCUGUAAAGGUGCAGGCGAAGGGAAACCGAGCUCUCGCAGCUUCGCAAGAAGUCAGGAGAGGCGUGUGAAAGUGCGUAGAGUCAUGGCGGCUAGGCUAGAAGCCAGUCGAUCUAUUCCUGAGCUAGAUGAAGGAGGGCGAAAGCCCUCUGGAGGUCUUAAGACGUUCUGACGUGCAAAUCGUUGUUGUGACUUGGGAAUAGGGGUCAAAAACCAAUCUAGACUGGCGCUCGCUAGUUCCAACCGAAGCGUCUC
rnacentral:rRNA from 1 species